CCUACGGGACGCAGCAGUGGGGAAUAUUGCACAAUGGGGGAAACCCUGAUGCAGCGACGCCGCGUGGAGGAAGAAGGUCUUCGGAUUGUAAACUCCUGUCCUUGGGGACGAUAAUGACGGUACCCAAGGAGGAAGCACCGGCUAACUACGUGCCAGCAGCCGCGGUAAAACGUAGGGUGCAAGCGUUGUCCGGAAUUACUGGGUGUAAAGGGAGCGCAGGCGGAUCGACAAGUUGGGAGUGAAAACUACGGGCUCAACCCGUAACCUGCUUUCAAAACUGGCGUUCUCGAGUGGGCGAGAAGUAU
rnacentral:rRNA from 1 species